rnacentral:rRNA from 1 species
CCUACGGGAGGCAGCAGUGGGGAAUAUUGGGCAAUGGAGGAAACUCUGACCCAGCGACGCCGCGUGCGGGAUGAAGGCCUUCGGGUUGUAAACCGCUUUCAGUAGGGAAGAAGCGAAAGUGACGGUACCUACAAAAGAAGCACCGGCUAACUAUGUGCCAGCAGCCGCGGUAAUACAUAGGGUGCAAGCGUUGUCCGGAAUUAUUGGGCGUAAAGAGCUCGUAGGUCGUUUGUUACGUCGGAUGUGAAAACCUGAGGCUCAACCUCAGGCCUGCAUUCGAUACGGGCAAACUAGAGUUUGGUAGGGGAGACUGGAAUUCCUGGUGUAGCGGUGGAAUGCGCAGAUAUCAGGAGGAACACCAAUGGCGAAGGCAGGUCUCUGGGCCAAUACUGACACUGAGGAGCGAAAGUCUGGGGAGCGGACAGGAUUAGAUACCCUGGUAGUCCAGACCGUAAACGGUGGGCACUAGUUGUGGGAACCUUCCACGGUUUCUGCGACGCAGCUAACGCAUUAAGUGCCCCGCCUGGGGGUAGGUACGACGUCGCGAACGAAUUAAAACGUUAAAACGUAAAGUUAGUACGGACGACGUCGCCGACGACGACGACGAGGGAGUAGG